rnacentral:tRNA from 1 species
GUUGCUUUGGCAGAUUUAAUGUAAUAAAUUUAGGAUUUAUAUAUGUGGUAUAACAUCACAAGCAAUA